rnacentral:misc_RNA from 1 species
AAGUCGUAACAAGGUCUCCGUAGGUGAACCUGCGGAGGGAUCAUUACCGAGUGCGGGCCCUCGCGCCCAACCUCCAACCCUUUGUCGAUUCAUAACUGUUGCCUCGGGGGGCGACCCGGACGCGAGCCCGGGAGUCCCCCAGAGGUCCAAUCAAACACACUGCGUCUUUGCGUCGGAGUAUUGAAUACAAAUCAAUCAAAA